UACGUAGGGUGCGAGCGUUGUCCGGAAUUAUUGGGCGUAAAGAGCUCGUAGGCGGUUUGUUGCGUCGGCCGUGAAAACUUGGGGCUUAACUCCGAGCUUGCGGUCGAUACGGGCAGACUUGAGUUCGGCAGGGGAGACUGGAAUUCCUGGUGUAGCGGUGAAAUGCGCAGAUAUCAGGAGGAACACCGGUGGCGAAGGGCGGGGUCUCUGGGCCGAUACUGACGCUGAGGAGCGAAAAGCGUGGGGGAGCGAACAGG
rnacentral:rRNA from 1 species